GACGAACGCUGGUGGCGUGCUUAACACAUGCAAGUCGAACGGGAUUUAGUAAACAGAAGCCUCGGUGGAAGAUUACUAAUGAGAGUGGCGAACGGGUGAGUAACGCGUGAGCAACCUGCCUAUGACAGUGGGAUAGCCUCGGGAAACCGGGAUUAAUACCGCAUAAAAUCGUAGAAACACAUGUUUUAACGGUCAAAGAUUUAUCGGUCAUAGAUGGGCUCGCGUCUGAUUAGCUAGUUGGUGAGAUAACAGCCCACCAAGGCGACGAUCAGUAGCCGGUCUGAGAGGAUGAACGGCCACAUUGGAACUGAGACACGGUCCAAACUCCUACGGGAGGCAGCAGUGGAGAAUAUUGCACAAUGGGGGAAACCCUGAUGCAGCGACGCCGCGUGAACGAAGAAGGUAUUCGUAUCGUAAAGUUCUGUCCUAUGGGAAGAUAAUGACAGUACCAUAGAAGAAAGCUCCGGCUAAAUACGUG
rnacentral:rRNA from 1 species